rnacentral:rRNA from 1 species
UACGUAGGGUGCAAGCGUUAAUCGGAAUUACUGGGCGUAAAGCGUGCGCAGGCGGUGAUGUAAGACAGAUGUGAAAUCCCCGGGCUCAACCUGGGAACUGCAUUUGUGACUGCAUCGCUGGAGUGCGGCAGAGGGGGAUGGAAUUCCGCGUGUAGCAGUGAAAUGCGUAGAUAUGCGGAGGAACGCCGAUGGCGAAGGCAAUCCCCUGGGCCUGCACUGACGCUCAUGCACGAAAGCGUGGGGAGCAAACAGG